AUUACUCCUACGGGAGGCAGCAGUGGGGAAUUGUUCGCAAUGGGCGAAAGCCUGACGACGCAACGCCGCGUGGGGGAUGAAGGUCUUCGGAUUGUAAACCCCUGUCGUGUGGGAAGAACGACCUCGUGGUGAACAGCCAUGGGGUUUGACGGUACCACGUGAGGAAGCCCCGGCUAACUCUGUGCCAGCAGCCGCGGUAAUAAU
rnacentral:rRNA from 1 species